rnacentral:rRNA from 1 species
GGGCCCGCAAGGGUGCCGACGAGUGGCGGACGGGUGAGGAAUACAUCGGAAUUUGCCCAGUCGUGGGGGAUAACGUAGGGAAACUUACGCUAAUACCGCAUACGACCGAGAGGUGAAAGCGGGGGAUCAGCAAUGACCUCGCGCGAGUGGAUGAGCCGAUGUCGGAUUAGCUAGUUGGCGGGGUAAAGGCCCACCAAGGCGACGAUCCGUAGCUGGUCUGAGAGGAUGAUCAGCCACACUGGGACUGAGACACGGCCCAGACUCCUACGGGAGGCAGCAGUGGGGAAUAUUGGACAAUGGGGGCAACCCUGAUCCAGCAAUGCCGCGUGUGUGAAGAAGGCCUUCGGGUUGUAAAGCACUUUUGUCCGGAACGAAACGUGUCGGGUGAAUAUCCCGGCAAACUGACGGUACCGGAAGAAUCAGCACCGGCUAACUUCGUGCCAGCAGCCGCGGUAAUACGAAGGGUGCAAGCGUUACUCGGAAUUACUGGGCGUAAAGCGUGCGUAGGUGGUUUGUUAAGUCCGUUGUGAAAGCCCUGGGCUCAACCUGGGAAUGGCAGUGGAUACUGGCAAGCUAGAGUGCGGUAGAGGGUAGUGGAAUUCCCGGUGUAGCAGUGAAAUGCGUAGAGAUCGGGAGGAACACCAGUGGCGAAGGCGGCUACCUGGACCAGCACUGACACUGAGGCACGAAAGCGUGGGGAGCAAACAGGAUUAGAUACCCUGGUAGUCCACGCCCUAAACGAUGCGAACUGGAGGUUGGGUGCAACUUGGCACUCAGUCUCGAAGCUAACGCG